rnacentral:lncRNA from 13 species
UCGGCAAUAUGGCAGUCCAUACCUCUAAGUGAGGUAUAUGCCCCGUGGCGAGAGAAGCUCGCCACGUACUAAGUCGAGUGAUCUCUCUAAUGCGCGGCGAGAGAUGGCAGUGCCUGUACUGUAUUAGACUGCCAGUAUUGCCGAACUUAGAGAUCUCACAGCGAUCGUGCGGCUAACCUAUACCUAUACCUGUCAAAAACAACACCGAACGCGACCGCGUGUCGGGGACUCAGAACACAGAAAAUGAGUUUAAGCUGCCAGCCCGGGCACGUUAGGUGACUCCGCGGUUUUGUGAGCCCAACCAAGUUUUUUAUGCUUAAUCACACUCACUGGGCCGAACUGGACGGCACUGCAAUGCCCAGUCGACCCGCGGCGGGGUCGGAGCAAGCUCCGGACACCCACCCGGCUCCAAAAAUCAGUUUAAUAUUCUGAGUCCCCUAUGGGGACUGUAUCAGAUAUUAAGCUGAUAAGAACAGAUACUACACUUUGAUCUUAGCUCAGAGAGCCGAGAAGCGAUGCCAUUGAACGUUUUUGCGAGCCUUUUAUAACGUACUUGCUUGCUUUUUCACUACGAGAAACUUUGCCCCUUGCGCAACGUAGCGGUGAACGCCGGUACUACGUUACCCCCCCCUCUCUCUCCCCGGGACGUUUUCUUUUACUACCCUAACCUAUUUACUGAUUUAUAAGUAGAUUACAUUUGUAUUUAACCUUUACUAACAGCUAAAAGUGCUCGUUUUUGCUUAUAUGCGACAUCCGAAAUUUUUCAAUUUUGUGUUCAGCGAUUUCGUCUUGUUCAUAUAUGACACGUAAGAGAGACAAAAUGUUUAUACAUAAAAGUCCAUCUUUAAAACACAUUUCUGUAUAUAAUACCGCUUGUUUUUGUCGAUCUACUGUUAUUAUUUAUUACUUAUUAUACAUUAGACUUAGGUACGUAUAGUGUCAAACUUUCUCGCAUUGUUACUAUAUGAUGGAUUUUUCUUGUAAACUAUAAAUUAUUUUCCUUUUUUUCUUAGACUUAUUCAUGUAUUUUAGGAGUAUUUGUUUAUAAAUUUCAUAAUACGUACAAUUAUAUACUUUUAUAGUGAUUUCUGAGUUAUACUAAUUGGUAUUUAAAACUGGAAAAUCCCGUUUUUUAGAAAAUGCAUAUAUAAUAAUACAUAUAUAUAUAUAUAAAAGUAUAUACCAAUGUAAAACAAUUCAAUUUUUUAUGAGAACAUUGUUAUUCUCAUAUGAUUUAUCCAUGAUCUGUCCCUAUUUAAAAGUAUUGAUAAUUCCUUGAUUCGUGACAAAUGUACACUUUUGUACAAUAUUGAGGAUGACUGAAGUAUUACUUUGUUAUACAAUUAUUUGAACUCUGAUUAUUUCAAUUCUCGCAAUGCAAUGAUGAGUUAUUUUUUGUGCUAUUCUAUUAAUCAAUAGUACCUUCAGCUUGUUUUUAUUAAUACGUAAUUUAUAACAUUCUGUUAUAGAGACUAAAUAUACUUUAGAUAGUCAUUAUUUUAUAUAUUUAUUGAAUGUAAUCUUUUUUCCAGACCAAAUAAGGUACAAUUCUUCAUCAUUCAUUAGUAAUUUUGAAAUACUCAAUUUUGAAAGAUAUUAACCAGAAUAUCGGAAGAUUUUCAGAAUAAUCAUGGAUAAAAAAAAAAUUACUUGAGAAAAUGAUCAUAGAACUCGUUACUCUUCUAUCUAUUAAUGAAAAGAAUUGAAACGUUGGAUUAUAUAAUUCUUUUGGUGCUAAGACGUAAAAUUUAAUGGUGCCAUAUCUUACGUCCACAAUCAAUUCCUCCUUUUUGUAACCUCGUUAGUUAAUUUUCUUAACUCGUUAGCCAAGUCUAAUUACGAUUUAUCUAUAUCUAGAAAUUCGCUUCGUCAGUUUAAGACAAAAUUUUUAAAACGAUUAAACUAAUCAUUUACAAAAUUUAUAGAUUUCGAGGUAACAAUUUUUUCGCAACUAACUAAUUGACUUAAGUAUUAUGCUGAUUUAAUUUUUUACAUAUUAUAUAUUUUUUUGAUUGAUAUAUAACUUAUCUUAUCUACUAAUUUUUUUUAUAACUAGCAUCUGCGUUUUUUAUAACUAGCAAAUAAAAUUCCGAAUAAAGUUUUACUUAUUUCACCUACAAAAUCAGUUCACGCUUAAUUCUCGAUAUUAUUUCGUUUUAAACUGUAAAUCGUAUAAAUUAAUUAAAACAUUGAUUAUAUACUGAAUUUUGGUGUUGAUUGGUUAGAUAAUAUACAGCUUAUUAAGAUCGGCAUUUGUAUCUUGUAGGAUUGGUAAGAUUAAACAUAGGAAAUUUUUCGUAGAUAUUUUUUGGGUUGAUAUUAACCAUUCCAGACCCAGAUCUUUGCUGAAGGCAAUUUUAAUUUCACGUUUUUUCUUUAUUAUUUCUAAAAAUUAACAUUCGACUUAUCAUGAAAGAAUUAAUCGUAUUUACAGAAAUUCGCGAAAGAGCAUCAACAUUAGUAUUAAUCUUUUCUGUUUAUACUUUAUUUCACAAUCGAAUUCUUCUGAUUUGAAUCUCUAUCUAAUGUAGGGUGUUUGAAUAAAUUGUUAGACAAGUAGAGCGUGAGAAAGAAAACACGUGUCGCCAAGUAGAGAAAUCAGCGCUUGACGAAAAGGUUGGCGUUGAUUUAUGAAGGGAUUGACAUUGUAGGCGUCUAUCAGUAUUAGUAACACAAAUAUGCUAAAUGUGUGUAUAUGAGGACACCGUGUGAUGGCGCGGUAUGUAUGGUUUUGGAGCGAUUAGGCCGAUAUGCGCGUCGGUGGCGCUGACUGGCGAAAUAAGAGUAGCCGGUAGAACACUUAAGAAUUCGGAGUCAUUGUGAAGACGUGAAAGUUAAUCUACGGAAGUCUUGUGUAAGCGUGAAAUACGGAAAAGAGACAUGAGGCCGAAACCUGCAGCAACGAUGAACAGCUAAAGCCACUGCGAGAUAUCGGCGGGCCGUGAUCUGUAGAUUUCCAUGAAUGUGAUUCAAAAAUUGACGAAGUUUUACCGAUAAUUUCUGAGAUCUCAGUAUAUAUCUAGGAUUAAUACAUAAAAUCUUUAAGACGACUGGCCUAAUAAUACUAAGUACGUACCUUAACACCCGAAUACAUCGCUGUUCAUACUUUGAUAUAUAUCGCACUGCAUUCACAUAUAAUCCGAUAAAUUAAUCAUAUGUUAACAUGCACGUGGGUUGAAGAUGAAAAUCUAAAAGUAGAAGAAAA